GAUGAACGCUGGCGGCGUGCUUAACACAUGCAAGUCGAACGGAAAGGCCCAAGCUUGCUUGGGUACUCGGGUGGCGAACGGGUGAGUAACACGUGGGUGAUCUGCCCUGCACUUCGGGAUAAGCCUGGGAAACUGGGUCUAAUACCGGAUAGGACCACAUUUUGGAUGGUGUGGUGGAAAGUUUUUCGGUGUGGGAUGAGCUCGCGGCCUAUCAGCUUGUUGGUGGGGUAAUGGCCUACCAAGGCGUCGACGGGUAGCCGGCCUGAGAGGGUGUACGGCCACAUUGGGACUGAGAUACGGCCCAGACUCCUACGGGAGGCAGCAGUGGGGAAGAUUGCACAAUGGGCGCAAGCCUGAUGCAGCGACGCCGCGUGGGGGAUGACGGCCUUCGGGUUGUAAACUCCUUUCGCUAGGGACGAAGCGUUAUGUGACGGUACCUGGAGAAGAAGCACCGGCUAACUACGUG
rnacentral:rRNA from 1 species